UGACCUACGGGACGCAGCAGUAGGGAAUUUUCGGCAAUGGGGGGAACCCUGACCGAGCAACGCCGCGUGAAGGAAGAAGGAAUUCGUUCUGUAAACUUCUGUUAUAAAGGAAGACCGGCGGAUGAAGGAAAUGACAUCCGAGUGACGGUACUUUAUGAGAAAGCCACGGCUAACUACGUGCCAGCAGCCGCGGUAAUACGUAGGUGGCAAGCGUUAUCCGGAAUUAUUGGGCGUAAAGAGGGAGCAGGCGGCAGCAAAGGUCUGUGGUGAAAGACUGAAGCGUAACUUCAGUAAGCCAGAGAAAG
rnacentral:rRNA from 1 species